rnacentral:rRNA from 1 species
UAACCGGAAGUAAGAAAGACGGAUCGCAUUAUCAGCUUUUAAAAGGCGGCGUAAGCUGUCGCUAUGGGAUGGCCCCGCGGUGCAUUAGCUAGUUGGUAAGGUAAAGGCUUACCAAGGCGAUGAUGCAUAGCCGAGUUGAGAGACUGAUCGGCCACAUUGGGACUGAGACACGGCCCAAACUCCUACGGGAGGCAGCAGUA